AUUGAACGCUGGCGGCAGGCUUAACACAUGCAAGUCGAACGAGUGGCGGACGGGUGAGUAAUGCAUGUGUAUCUAGCUUAUGGAGGGGGAUAACUACGGGACACUGUAGCUAAUACCGCGUACCAUAGGAUGAGCCCAAGUGGGAUUAGGUAGUUGGUGAGGUAAAGGCUCACCAAGCCGACGAUCCCUAGCUGGUCUGAGAGGAUGACCAGCCACACUGGGACGGAAACACGGCCCAGACUCCUACGGUAGGCAGCAGUGGGGAAUAUUGCGCAAUGGGGGCAACCUGACGCAGCCAUGCCGCGUGAAGGAAGAAGGCCUUCGUGUUGUAAAGUUCUUUCGGUAGCGAGGCGUUAACUACAGAAGAAGCACCGGCUAACUCCGUGCCAGCAGCCGCGGUAAUAC
rnacentral:rRNA from 1 species